UCCGAGUUGACCCCGGCAGUCUCCUGCGAGUCCCCGCCAUUACGCGCUGGCAACACAGGACAAGGGUUGCGCUCGUUGCGGGACUUAACCCAACAUCUCACGACACGAGCUGACGACAGCCAUGCAGCACCUGUCUGUGCGCUCCCGAAGGCACCAAGGUAUCUCUACCAAGUUCGCACGAUGUCAAGGGUAGGUAAGGUUCUUCGUGUUGCAUCGAAUUAAACCACAUGCUCCACCGCUUGUGCGGGCCCCCGUCAAUUCAUUUGAGUUUUAACCUUGCGGCCGUACUCCCCAGGCGGUCGACUUGUCGCGUUAACUGCGCCACAAAGGUCUCGAGGACCCCAACGGCUAGUCGACAUCGUUUACGGCGUGGACUAC
rnacentral:misc_RNA from 1 species